UCCAGUGUGCACAAAAUAUGG
rnacentral:piRNA from 1 species